AUUGAACGCUGGCGGCAGGCCUAACACAUGCAAGUCGAACGGCGCGGCGGACGGGUGCGUAAUGCCUAGGAAUCUGCCUGGUCGUGGGGGAUAACGUCCGGAAACGGGCGCUAAUACUGCAUACUAUUAGAUUAGCCUAGGUCGGAUUAGCUAGUUGGGGGGGUAAAGGCCUACCAAGGCGACGAUCCGUAACCGGUCCGAGAGGAUGAUCAGUCACACUGGAACUGAGACACGGUCCAGACUCCUACGGGAGGCAGCAGUGGGGAAUAUGGGACAAUGGGCGAAAGCCUGAUCCAGCCAUGCCGAGUGUGUGAAGAAGGUCUUCGGGUUGUAAAGCACUUUAAGUUGGGAGGCGUUACCAACAGAAUAAGCACCGGCUAACUUCGUGCCAGCAGCCGCGGUAAUUC
rnacentral:rRNA from 1 species